CAUGCCGGUGCUCUGGCACCUUUGCGUUUCCCAACAACCGAGCUAGACGUCCGCAACAACAACAACAAAAAAAAUCACUUCCGUUAGGGGAAGGCACGCCUUCCACGCUGCAACAUGGAGGCUGUCAGUAAGCUGAAUGAACCGGUUUCCGGGGAGCUGGUGUCUGUAGCACAUGCUCUUUCUCUCCCUGCAGAGUCUUAUGGCAAUGAUCCAGAUAUUGAGAUGGCCUGGGCCAUGAGAGCAAUGCAACACGCUGAAGUCUAUUACAAGGUAAAUCC